GGCGAUCGCCAAUUAAAUACACAACAUUACACCAAAUUGGAAAACUUUGACCCUAAACGCACUCAUAUGUAUUAUCAAUACAUAUGUCAAAGGCAUGUACACCAAAGGUGUUAUAGAUUACGCCACAUUUAAUUACCUUAAUAACGGUAUUCAAAUUGAUUAUGGGCCGCCUGGGUAUAUGCAUAGCUUGCCUAAAAUACACCGAUUAAAUGAAUCAAAAUAAGUAAAAAUCAAUAUAAAUGGGUUUAACAUUGAUAACAUAAUGCCACCAUGUCGGGCAAUCAUAUCUCAGAUUUGUACUGUCACAGAAUUUAUUGGAUGCGAUAUCGAUUAUGUUUUAGUACCUAUGGUACAAAAACAACAUACGUAUAUAAAGGAUACGUCUAAUCUAAUAUACAAGUUGGAAAGAGUUAAGCCUAAUGCAGAUUGCUGGCUGUGUAGUUUUGAUGUAGUUUCAAUGUACACUAAUUGCCCGAUUGAUGAAUUAUUAUCGGCAGUUAGAAUUUCGUAUGAUCAGUUUGAUAAAUUAGAUUACAAAAUCAAAUGCCCACCUACGGAUGAUUUAAUCUAUUUCCUCAGAUCAAUUUUAAAGAACAACAUUAUCGAUUUUAAUGGACGGCUUUAUAAGCAAAAAAUAGGAGCCGCGAUAGGAGCAAUUUCGGCAUACUUUGACUAAUUUGCAGAUCUCUUCUUGCUUACCAUUAUUGCUAUUUAAAGUGUCUAUCUUUCAUAGUUAUCAAUAUAUUAGACUACUUUUUCUGUUUAGUCUGUUUUUUAUGAUAUACAUUUGACGUGAAACUGUACUUAUGUAUCCCGUCAUACUUUGAACCACACCAUUAUUUUAUUUAUUAU
rnacentral:lncRNA from 1 species